UACGUAGGUGGCAAGCGUUGUCCGGAUUUACUGGGCGUAAAGAGCGCGCAGGCGGUCGUUCAAGUCGCGUGUGAAAGCCCACGGCUCAACUGGGGAGGGUCACGCGAUACUGAUCGACUCGAAGGCAGGAGAGGGAAGUGGAAUUCCCGGUGUAGUGGUGAAAUGCGUAGAUAUCGGGAGGAACACCUGUGGCGAAGGCGGCCCCCUGGUUGGAUACUGACGCUGAGACGCGAAAGCGUGGGGAGCAAACAGG
rnacentral:rRNA from 1 species